rnacentral:rRNA from 1 species
CAUUAAGCACUCCGCCUGGGGAGUACGGUCGCAAGACUGAAACUCAAAGGAAUUGACGGGGACCCGCACAAGCAGUGGAGUAUGUGGUUUAAUUCGAAGCAACGCGAAGAACCUUACCAGGUCUUGACAUCCCUCUGACCGAUACAGAGAUGUAUCUUUCCUUCGGGACAGAGGAGACAGGUGGUGCAUGGUUGUCGUCAGCUCGUGUCGUGAGAUGUUGGGUUAAGUCCCGCAACGAGCGCAACCCUUGAUCUUAGUUGCCAGCACUUCGGGUGGGCACUCU